rnacentral:misc_RNA from 1 species
GAUGAAGAACGUAGCGAAAUGCGAUAAGUAAUGUGAAUUGCAGAAUUCAGUGAAUCAUCGAGUCUUUGAACGCACAUUGCGCCCCCUGGUAUUCCGGGGGCAUGCCUGUCCGAGCGUCAUUGCCGCCCUCAAGCACGGCUUGUGUGUUGGGCCCCCGCCCCCCGGCUUCGGGGGGCGGGCCCGAAAGGCAGCGGCGGCACCGCGUCCGGUCCUCGAGCGUAUGGGGCUUCGUCACCCGCUCUGUAGGCCCGGCCGGCGCCCGCCGGCGACCCCAAUCAAUCUUUCCAGGUUGACCUCGGAUCAGGUAGGGAUACCCGCUGAACUUAAGCAUAUCAAUAAGCGGAGGA